rnacentral:rRNA from 1 species
UACGGGGGGGGGCAAGCGUUGUUCGGAAUUACUGGGCGUAAAGGGCUCGUAGGCGGCCAACUAAGUCGGACGUGAAAAUCCCUCAGCUUAACUGGGGAACUGCGUCCGAUACUGGAUGGCUUGGAUUCGGGAGAGGAAUGCGGAAUUCCAGGUGUAGCGGUGAAAUGCGUAGAUAUCUGGAGGAACACCGGUGGCGAAGGCGGCAUUCUGGACCGACAUUGACGCUGAGGAGCGAAAGCCAGGGGGAGCAAACGGGG